rnacentral:lncRNA from 1 species
GUGUCUUGUGUAGUUAUAUUUCAAUAUAGAGUCUUUCAUGUGAGUUUAGCCCCUAGAUUGGCCCAGGGGGUGACAUUUAGAUUCAAGUUUAUUUUCGGAUUGACCCCUUCUUCUUUGUUUGAUUCCGCCAAAGAAAGACUAAUUCUUAUGUUCAUAGAACGAUUCAUUUAUUUUAUAAGAAUUAAUCAUUGAAGAAAUAUCACUCUCACUGUCUCUAUUUUUAUUCUUUGAAUGUUUAUAUACUUCACAAACACCCGUCUCAAUGAGAGAAGAAAGUUACACCAUUCGAACAGGGCCGCCAAAGGGGACCAACAAUUGGUAUUAGAGCAGAUUGGAUAAAUUAUUUCCAAGAUCCCUUUCUCCUGUAUGAGAGACGUAUAUUCAUGAUCUGCCAAAGGUAAAAAGAAAUAUUUUUUGCAGAUCUAAAUAAAAAAAAAUAAAGUAUGUAGUACAGUUAUUAUUUUUUUUCUGUUAUUUUCAUUACUUUUACUAUUGCUUUUAUUACUAUUAUUACUAUUAAUAUUAUCUCUAUUAUUGUUUUUCUUUCUAGUAUAAAAAGAAGUGUAGAAAAAGGAUAUAAAAACACAAAAAAGGAGUUAACCAAAGAUAAAUGAACAUUAGUUUAUCAGAAAGAAAAAUUUUGACAUCUAAAAAGAAAGUUUCUGGUAAAAGAAAGUUUAUUCAUAUCUUAUCUAAUGAAAUAACUCCAAAUUCUGGUUAGUUAAUAUUCAAAAAAAAAAAAAAGAAUGAUAAUGGUUAAAAGAGAUUAAAAAAAACUAUGUGAAACUUUAGAAAACAUACUCAUGACUAUCAUCUUUUAAAAAGUUUUCACAAAAUAUUCUUUGAAGAAAAGAACAUGUGCUUAGACUUUCACCGGAAAAAUAUGUGUAAAUUUUCUGAUGCGUUCGUCAGAUUUUCUGAUGAUUAA